UAAUUAAACGAAUGCUCAUAUCUGAUGGGAGAAUAAACCUUUUCCGACGUGUUACAGCGUGAUAAUUAUGAUUAAUGGGCUUAAUUUCAUUGUGUUUUUUGCAAUGCAAUCUGAUCGAGGAGCACACCGCACGCAUCCAGUGUCUAACCCCAGGUUAUUUUGCCCCCCAAAAAAAUCCACAGAUAAAUGCCCAAGCGAGCAAAGGGAAGCACAUAAUAACGCUGGAAUCCAGAGCUUGCGGGAGAAUUAGUUCCCUUGGUUCUCUUCUAGCGUUGGCAGCAUUUAUGUGUACGCUGAGAGACCAGAUGGGAUUUCACCAGCCUGGGCUCACCAUCGGCUCGACCGCCGGAGCCACUUUGGUCUCACCGAUAACUUCUGGAGCGCGGCCAAGACCAGUUGAAUGGCUCGGUGAGGUUGCCAAGGACAAAAACAUUCACAGACAUGGAGCAAAUUAACUACGCGAUGUUUAUCUCAGCACGUCCAAUCGGCUCCGCUCUAUGGGUUGCUAAGGAUGCUUUACGCUAUUCGGAUUCGAAGUGCAAGCGGAUGAACGGAAGCCAGGGUUUUGAGUUUCGCAAGAAGUUCCCUCCUCAACAAAAAAUGGUUCACAUUUACAGACUGUGAAAAGCGUUCAGAGGGCUAGGCUCGGGCUAUUCAUGCGCACGAUUAUACUUGUUCAUGAAGACUCGUGAGUGGCAUGUUCGUUCGGCUUGAUCUGGUGUCAGCAGAAUUGAUCAAGCUGUGUCAGCGUGAUUGCUUUUCUUGCUUUUUGUUUAACAAGAUUUGACCGACUUCAUAAGCCGUGGGAUAUUUGCUUUACGUUAAUGAAUUUUGCCACAGCGAUCUAAGCACAUUUAGGAAACGCAUCAACAAGUCUGAAAAGCCUGGAAACGUUUCCGGUGGACGGUUUUAACUUCCACAUGCGUCCGAAAUCUGUCUGAAACCUGGGUUUAUGUGCAAAAUAAAUAAAUGAAUAAAUAAGAUGAA